rnacentral:rRNA from 1 species
AAUCCGGUUGAUCCUGCCGGACCUGACUGCUAUCGGAUUGAUACUAAGCCAUGCGAGUCAUUGUAGCAAUACAAGGCAGACGGCUCAGUAACGCGUAGUCAACCUACCCUAUGGACGGGAAUAACCUCGGGAAACUGAGAAUAAUGCCCGAUAGAACAUUAUGCCUGGAAUGGUUUAUGUUCCAAAUGAUUUAUCGCCAUAGGAUGGGACUGCGGCCUAUCAGUUUGUUGGUGAGGUAAUGGCCCACCAAGACUAUUACAGGUACGGGCUCUGAGAGGAGUGGCCCGGAGAUGGGUACUGAGACA